rnacentral:lncRNA from 1 species
CUAUUAAAAAAAUUUCGUUAACCACAGUUAAAAACUUAAUCAUGGUUAAUUAAUAACGUAAAUUGACGAUUUUACCCUUCUUCCUCUUCCUCCUCUUUCUCUUCCAUCUUCUUCGUCGCCGACGAGGGAGAAUAUGCUGCGGCGGCGGCGGCGACGGCAGCGGCGAACCCUCUCCCUCUUCCUCUUUCUUUUCCCUCUUCCUCUUCCCCCUUAUUCUUCCCCUCCCUCUUCCUCUUCCCUCUUCUUCGUCGGGGCUGGCGAGG